rnacentral:lncRNA from 1 species
UUUUAGUUGAUAAGCAACCUAAGCAAGUUUUGAAAACACAAACUAAGUUUCAAGCUUCUGUGCGAUUGCUCAUAGGUUCAAAAUUAAAUCAAAUGUCAUUACCAGAAGUAACAGUCUCAAUUUUAAGUGAAAAACAAUGCAAAGAAUUACUUUCUGGGAAGAAUCUCGCGUAUGUGCUAUUUUUU